CAACAACACCCACACAAACUACAACCAUACCUCCAUCCACAACAACUUCCCCACUAAAUAUGGCACAAAAUAUAACCACCAUUACACCAACAACAACUACCCAUCAACUACAACAACUGAUCCCUCAACACCUGAUUCCUCAAGUCAAUAUGUCAUAGGUCUGACAGCAAGACUCUCCUCUUCAACUGGACUAUCUGACAACGACAUCAUCUAUGUCAUACAAAAAUUUAAGGACGAACUGGUGAAUAGGGGGCUGUCGAGAGACAUCACUAUACGCCUCGUGAGCAGUGUGAGACUGGGAGUUACAACCACAGCGUGAAAAU